rnacentral:rRNA from 1 species
AUUGAACGCUGGCGGCAUGCUUUACACAUGCAAGUCGAACGGUAACAGGCCGCAAGGUGCUGACGAGUGGCGAACGGGUGAGUAAUGCAUCGGAACGUGCCCAGUCGUGGGGGAUAACGCAGCGAAAGCUGCGCUAAUACCGCAUACGAUCUAUGGAUGAAAGCGGGGGACCGUAAGGCCUCGCGCGAUUGGAGCGGCCGAUGUCAGAUUAGGUAGUUGGUGGGGUGAAGGCUCACCAAGCCAACGAUCUGUAGCUGGUCUGAGAGGACGACCAGCCACACUGGGACUGAGACACGGCCCAGACUCCUACGGGAGGCAGCAGUGGGGAAUUUUGGACAAUGGGCGCAAGCCUGAUCCAGCAAUGCCGCGUGCAGGAAGAAGGCCUUCGGGUUGUAAACUGCUUUUGUACGGAACGAAACGGUCCUGGUUAAUACCUGGGGCUAAUGACGGUACCGUAAGAAUAAGCCCCGGCUAACUUCGUGCCAGCCGCCGCUGUAAUAC